GACGAACGCUGGCGGCGUGCCUAAUACAUGCAAGUCGAACGCUUCUUUCCUCCCGAGUGCCUGCACUCAAUUGGAAAGAGGAGUGGCGGACGGGUGAGUAACACGUGGGUAACCUACCCAUCAGAGGGGGAUAACACUUGGAAACAGGUGCUAAUACCGCAUAACAGUUUAUGCCGCAUGGCAUAAGAGUGAAAGGCGCUUUCGGGUGUCGCUGAUGGAUGGACCCGCGGUGCAUUAGCUAGUUGGUGAGGUAACGGCUCACCAAGGCCACGAUGCAUAGCCGACCUGAGAGGGUGAUCGGCCACACUGGGACUGAGACACGGCCCAGACUCCUACGGGAGGCAGCAGUAGGGAAUCUUCGGCAAUGGACGAAAGUCUGACCGAGCAACGCCGCGUGAGUGAAGAAGGUUUUCGGAUCGUAAAACUCUGUUGUUAGAGAAGAACAAGGACGUUAGUAACUGAACGUCCCCUGACGGUAUCUAACCAGAAAGCCACGGCUAACUACGUG
rnacentral:rRNA from 1 species